UCUCAACUCAGUGAAAAUUUUUGAAGGCAAGACUGGCCCUAGUAAAAAUUGUGAAGCUGGAAAAGUUUUUCUCUCCUUCCUACCCUCUCUGUGUUGGAGCUCUUGACUCUUUUAAAUUGUUCUUUCCAGUUUAACCUUCUGUCACUACUUAUUCUCAGAUCCUUCAUUCAUACCCCUCCUACAGGCAUUUGAAUUUUCAGAAAUCAAAGCUUAAACUCAAAGGGGAGGAUUUGACAAUGGAAUUUCAGGUUGUACUCAGCAAGGAUGGAAGGAAUGGAAAGGAUCUGGGGUAAAGGGAUUAGAGACUCUGACCAUGGGAAUUUUGAAAGAUCAGAAGUAUAAUACUCUAGGUGUUUCAGCAUCCCAGAAUCCUAACCAAAUGCCUAAUGGAUAG
rnacentral:lncRNA from 1 species